rnacentral:rRNA from 1 species
AGUCAAGAUGAGAAUUCUAAGGUGAGCGAGCGAACUCUCGUUAAGGAACUCGGCAAAAUGACCCCGUAACUUCGGGAGAAGGGGUGCUCUUUAGGGUUCACGCUCUGAAGAGCCGCAGUGAAUAGGCCCAAGCGACUGUUUAUCAAAAACACAGGUCUCUGCUAAACCGUAAGGUGACGUAUAGGGGCUGACGCCUGCCCGGUGCUGGAAGGUUAAGAGGAGUGGUUAGCUUCAGCGAAGCUACGAAUCGAAGCCCCAGUAAACGGCGGCCGUAACUAUAACGGUCCUAAGGUAGCGAAAUUCCUUGUCGGGUAAGUUCCGACCCGCACGAAAGGCGUAACGAUUUGGGCACUGUCUCAACGAGAGACUCGGUGAAAUCAUAGUACCGGUGAAGAUGCCGGUUACCCGCGACAGGACGGAAAGACCCCGUGGAGCUUUACUGUAGCCUGAUAUUGAAAUUCGGUACAGUUUGUACAGGAUAGGUAGGAGCCAUUGAAGCGUGAGCGCUAGCUUACGUGGAGGCAUUGGUGGGAUACUACCCUAAUUGUAUUGGAUUUCUAACUCGCAGCACUUAUCGUGCUGGAAGACAGUGUCAGGCGGGCAGUUUGACUGGGGCGGUCGCCUCCUAAAGUGUAACGGAGGCGCUCAAAGGUUCCCUCAGAAUGGUUGGAAAUCAUUCAUAGAGUGUAAAGGCAUAAGGGAGCUUGACUGCGAGACCUACAAGUCGAGCAGGGUCGAAAGACGGACUUAGUGAUCCGGUGGUUCCGCAUGGAAGGGCCAUCGCUCAACGGAUAAAAGCUACCCCGGGGAUAACAGGCUUAUCUCCCCCAAGAGUUCACAUCGACGGGGAGGUUUGGCACCUCGAUGUCGGCUCAUCGCAUCCUGGGGCUGUAGUCGGUCCCAAGGGUUGGGCUGUUCGCCCAUUAAAGCGGUACGCGAGCUGGGUUCAGAACGUCGUGAGACAGUUCGGUCCCUAUCCGUCGUGGGCGUAGGAAAUUUGAGAGGAGCUGUCCUUAGUACGAGAGGACCGGGAUGGACAUACCUCUGGUGUACCAGUUGUCGUGCCAACGGCAUAGCUGGGUAGCUAUGUAUGGACGGGAUAAGUGCUGAAAGCAUCUAAGCAUGAAGCCCCCCUCGAGAUGAGAUUUCCCAACUUCGGUUAUAAGAUCCCUCAAAGAUGAUGAGGUAAAUAGGUUCGAGGUGGAAGCGUAGCGAUACGUGGAGCUGACGAAUACUAAUCGAUCGAAGACUUAAUCAAAUU